CUACGUGCCAGCAGCCGCGGUAAUACGUAGGGUGCGAGCGUUAAUCGGAAUUACUGGGCGUAAAGCGAGCGCAGACGGUUACUUAAGCAGGAUGUGAAAUCCCCGGGCUCAACCUGGGAACUGCGUUCUGAACUGGGUGACUAGAGCGUGUCAGAGGGAGGUAGAAUUCCACGUGUASCAGUGAAAUGCGUAGAGAUGUGGAGGAAUACCGAUGGCGAAGGCAGCCUCCUGGGAUAACACUGACGUUCAUGCUCGAAAGCGUGGGUAGCAAACAGGAUUAGAUACCCUGGUAGUCCACGCCCUAAACGAUGUCAAUUAGCUGUUGGGCAACUUGAUUGCUUAGUAGCGUAGCUAACGCGUGAAAUUGACCGCCUGGGGAGUACGGUCGCAAGAUUAAAACUCAAAGGAAUUGACGGGGACCCGCACAAGCGGUGGAUGAUGUGGAUUAAUUCGAUGCAACGCGAAGAACCUUACCKGUCUUGACAU
rnacentral:rRNA from 1 species